GGGUUGUGAGGUUAAGCGACUAAGCGUACACGGUGGAUGCCCUGGCAGUCAGAGGCGAUGAAGGACGUGCUAAUCUGCGAAAAGCGCCGGCGAGGUGAUAUGAACCUUUGACCCGGCGAUGUCCGAAUGGGGAAACCCAGUGUGAUUCGUCACACUAUCGUUAACUGAAUACAUAGGUUAACGAGGCGAACCGGGGGAACUGAAACAUCUAAGUACCCCGAGGAAAAGAAAUCAACCGAGAUUCCCCCAGUAGCGGCGAGCGAACGGGGAGCAGCCCGGAGUCUGAAUCAGCUUGUGUGUUAGUGGAACGGUCUGGAAAGUCCGACGGUACAGGGUGAUAGUCCCGUACACGAAAAUGCACAGGUUGUGAACUCGAAGAGUAGGGCGGGACACGUGGUAUCCUGUCUGAAUAUGGGGGGACCAUCCUCCAAGGCUAAAUACUCCUGACUGACCGAUAGUGAACCAGUACCGUGAGGGAAAGGCGAAAAGAACCCCGGCGAGGGGAGUGAAAAAGAACCUGAAACCGUGUACGUACAAGCAGUGGGAGCCU
rnacentral:rRNA from 1 species